rnacentral:rRNA from 1 species
UUAUUUUAGCGGCGGACGGGUGAGUAACGUGUGGGUAACCUGCCUUUUACUGUGGAAUAAUCGUUGGAAACGACGACUAAUACCGCAUACGGGUUCUUGGAAGGCAUCUUCUAAGAAAGAAAGGAGUAAUUCGGUAAAAGAUGGGCCCGCAUCUGAUUAGCUAGUUGGUGAGAUAAUAGCCCACCAAGGCAACGAUCAGUAGCCGACCUGAGAGGGUGACCGGCCACAUUGGGACUGAGACACGGCCCAAACUCCUACGGGAGGCAGCAG